GGCCUGUUAGCAGUGGAUAUUGGGUUUAGGUGCUCAUGAGAAAUUCACAAAACGUAGUAAGAUGAGCUGGCGUGGCGUGGCUGCAUAAGGCACAAUUUAUUGCGAAUCGCUGCAUUGGCUGCCGGCCUUAUCACGUUACCAAUGAAGGAAAAUUAAGAUGAAGCGGCCC